CCUACGGGAGGCAGCAGUGGGGAAUUUUCCGCAAUGGGCGAAAGCCUGACGGAGCAAUACCGCGUGAGGGAUGAAGGCCUAUGGGUUGUAAACCUCUUUUUUCAGGGAGGAAUAAAUGACGUGUACCUGAAGAAUAAGCAUCGGCUAACUCCGUGCCAGCAGCCGCGGUAAGACGGGGGAUGCAAGUGUUAUCCGGAAUCACUGGGCGUAAAGCGUCUGUAGGUGGUUAAAUAAGUCAACUGUUAAAUCUUGAGGCUUAACUUCAAAAUCGCAGUCGAAACUGUUUGACUAGAGUAUAGUAGGGGUAAAGGGAAUUUCCAGUGGAGCGGUGAAAUGCGUAGAUAUUGGAAAGAACACCGAUGGCGAAGGCACUUUACUGGGCUAUUACUAACACUGAGAGACGAAAGCUAGGGUAGCAAAUGGGAUUAGAUACCCCAGUAGUCCUAGCUGUAAACAAUGGAUACUAGAUGUUGAACAGAUCGACCUGUGCAGUAUCAAAAGCUAAACGCGUUAAGUAUCCCGCCUGGGAAGUAUGCUCGCAAGAGUGAAACCUUAAAUGAAAUUGACGGNNGAGAGNGCGAGACGACACGAGGAGAG
rnacentral:rRNA from 1 species